rnacentral:rRNA from 1 species
GAUGAACGCUGGCGGCGUGCCUAAUACAUGCAAGUCGAGCGAAUGGAUUAAGAGCUUGCUCUUAUGGAGUUAGCGGCGGACGGGUGAGUAACACGUGGGUAACCUGCCCAUAAGGCUGGGAUAACUCCGGGAAACCGGGGCUAAUACCGGAUAACAUUUUGAACCGCAUGGUUCGAAAUUGAAAGGCGGCUUCGGCUGUCACUUAUGGAUGGACCCGCGUCGCAUUAGCUAGUUGGUGAGGUAACGGCUCACCAAGGCAACGAUGCGUAGCCGACCGGAGAGGGUGAUCGGCCACACUGGGACUGAGACACGGCCCAGACUCCUACGGGAGGCAGCAGUAGGGAAUCUUCCGCAAUGGACGAAAGUCUGACGGAGCAACGCCGCGUGAGUGAUGAAGGCUUUCGGGUCGUAAAACUCUGUUGUUAGGGAAGAACAAGUGCUAGUUGAAUAAGCUGGCACCUUGACGGUACCUAACCAGAAAGCCACGGCUAACUACGUGCCAGCAGCCGCCGUAA